UCCGGCUUUUUGCGGACGGGUGUCGGACAGACUUAAUAGGGAAUCAGGUGAGAAUCCUGAACGGUCCCGCCACUGUGACCGGGAAGUCGGCGGCAGGAAGCCACUGUUCCCGUUAUAAAGACAGCACCGCUGGGAAUGGGAAGGCGCCGCAUGGCAAUGAUCCGGGAGUCAGGAGACCUGCCCGUCCGGUGUGUGGUGU
rnacentral:ncRNA from 2 species